GAGCUCACUGCUCUUGCAUCCAAGCCCAGAACUAAGUGUUGAUGAUAAUUAAAAGAAAGUGAUUGAAGAUAGAAAAGGCAAGUAAUAUCAUGGCCAACCUGGAACAGCAAAUCCAACCAUAAAAAAAUGGAACAAAAAUUUA